rnacentral:lncRNA from 1 species
CUUGGAGCAGAGACUCCCUUGCCAAACCCAACAAGCCCCUGCAUUUCAGACACUUCCAGAUGGAGGUACUUCUCAGAAGCAAAUGGACAUCCUAAAUUCUGGUCAAUGCACAAGGUACAGUUUUGUGGGAAAAGCUGAGAGGGGACAUUGAUAAUCCAAACUGAAAAUGAAUCAAAACUGCAUCAUCUGAAACAACUGUAAAGUAAAGA